rnacentral:rRNA from 1 species
GAUGAGCGCUGGCGGCGUGCCUAAUACAUGCAAGUCGAGCGAACGGACGAGAAGCUUGCUUCUCUGAUGUUAGCGGCGGACGGGUGAGUAACACGUGGAUAACCUACCUAUAAGACUGGGAUAACUUCGGGAAACCGGAGCUAAUACCGGAUAAUAUUUUGAACCGCAUGGUUCAAAAGUGAAAGACGGUCUUGCUGUCACUUAUAGAUGGAUCCGCGCUGCAUUAGCUAGUUGGUAAGGUAACGGCUUACCAAGGCAACGAUGCAUAGCCGACCUGAGAGGGUGAUCGGCCACACUGGAACUGAGACACGGUCCAGACUCCUACGGGAGGCAGCAGUAGGGAAUCUUCCGCAAUGGGCGAAAGCCUGACGGAGCCACGCCGCGUGAGUGAUGAAGGUCUUCGGAUCGUAAAACUCUGUUAUUAGGGAAGAACAUAUGUGUAAGUAACUGUGCACAUCUUGACGGUACCUAAUCAGAAAGCCACGGCUAACUACGUG